ACGCUGGCGGCGUGCCUAAUACAUGCAAGUCGAGCGAGCUGAAUUCAAAGAUCCCUUCGGGGUGAUUUGUUGGACGCUAGCGGCGGAUGGGUGAGUAACACGUGGGCAAUCUGCCCUAAAGACUGGGAUACCACUUGGAAACAGGUGCUAAUACCGGAUAACGACAUGAAUCGCAUGAUUCAAGUUUGAAAGGCGGCGCAAGCUGUCACUUUAGGAUGAGCCCGCGGCGCAUUAGCUAGUUGGUGGGGUAAAGGCCUACCAAGGCAAUGAUGCGUAGCCGAGUUGAGAGACUGAUCGGCCACAUUGGGACUGAGACACGGCCCAAACUCCUGCGGGAGGCAGCAGUAGGGAAUCUUCCACAAUGGACGCAAGUCUGAUGGAGCAACGCCGCGUGAGUGAAGAAGGUCUUCGGAUCGUAAAGCUCUGUUGUUGGUGAAGAAGGAUAGAGGCAGUAACUGGUCUUUAUUUGACGGUAAUCAACCAGAAAGUCACGGCUAACUACGUGCCAGCAGCCGCGGUAAUACGUAGGUGGCGAGCGUUGUCCGGAUUUAUUGGGCGUAAAGCGAGCGCAGGCGGAAUGAUAAGUCUGAUGUGAAAGCCCACGGCUCAACCGUGGAACUGCAUCGGAAACUGUCAUUCUUGAGUGCAGAAGAGGAGAGUGGAACUCCAUGUGUAGCGGUGGAAUGCGUAGAUAUAUGGAAGAACACCAGUGGCGAAGGCGGCUCUCUGGUCUGCAACUGACGCUGAGGCUCGAAAGCAUGGGUAGCGAACAGGAUUAGAUACCCUGGUAGUCCAUGCCGUAAACGAUGAGCGCUAGGUGUUGGGGACUUUCCGGUUCUCAGUGCCGCAGCAAACGCAUUAAGCGCUCCGCCUGGGGAGUACGACCGCAAGGUUGAAACUCAAAGGAAUU
rnacentral:rRNA from 1 species